CCAGAUGACCAUGAGAAUGAAUGGAAAUCUGUAACUGAUGGUGGGGUGUGAGUAGGGGGCAUCUCCAAGAAAAGAGAGAGACCUGGGGUAGGGGAGGCACCCAAGAAUCGUUGAGGGUAUCCUUAGCUGUGACACACAGCAUUGGGUGUCCCGCACUAUCGUCUCGCCAGCAAGAACGCACACGGACACCAGGAUCCUUUUGCAGCAAAGCGUUUACCGUACAGCUCUCUUGAACAGGGACAGGGGGACCUCAAGCGCUCGCCUCAUAUAGACAGCAGGCUGAGGCUAUGCUAAUUGUCCUUCAGGGAUUGGCGGAGCAUGAAUUAUCUUAUUAGCAUGGUGCUGCUCCCUCAUUAGCAUAUUACCGGCCAACUGACGCCAGGUGCAAAGCCUGCGCAUGCGCAGUACCGUUGUUCACCACAGGAGGGCGCCCUACAAUUGGGGAAAUGGAGCCUAGGAAGGUUGCCUCCUGUGGCCAGGCAAGAACUCCUAGUAGAGUGUCAGGGACACCAACCCACCCACAAAAAACAUUCAACCCAAAACCUACUCUGUCUACAAGAAAUGCAGGGAUUGGGAAUGGAGCAGAGACUGAAGACAGUGGAAUGUUGACCUCUGAGAGGCUCCACCCAGCAGCUGACUCAGAUACAGACACCCACAGUCAAACAGUGGAUGGGGCUUGGGGAUUCUUAUGGAAGAACAGGAGGAAGGAUUGUGGCCCCUAAGAGGAUUGGAACUGCACAGGAAGACCAAGAGAAUCUACUCACCUGAACCACUGGGCUCUCAGAGACUGAACCGCCAACCAGAGAACAUAGACGGACUGUAUCCAGGCUCCCUGCACAUAUGUAGCAGAUGUGCAGCUUGGCCUUCAUGUGGGUCCCAAACAACUGUAAUGGGGGCUGUCCCAAAAGCUGUUGCCUAUGUGUGGGAUAUGUUCUUCUAGCUGGGCUGCUUUGUCUGGCCUCAGUGGGAGAGGAAACACCUAGCCUUGCAGAGACUUGAAGUGUCAGUGUGGGGGAUCUCAAGGGGGUCCCCACCUGCUCAGAGGAGAAGGGGAGGGGCAUGGGGUAAGGAUUGUGGGAGGUGACCAGGUGGGGGCAGUGAGUAAGAUGUAAAGUGAAUAAGAAAAUAUAAAUAAAUUCAUUUUUUAAAUGGUCAUCCUA